UAAGAUCUAGGAAAAAGUUUUAUUCUCUAAUAAAAACAUUUAUUUUUCAUGGGAUAUAUUCUCUAAAUUAUACCUUUUUUUAAGUGUAGGCAAGCGAUGUCAUUGGAAUACAAAAUAAAUUUAAAGAGAGUCAAAGUCAAAAGAUUUUCGAAAAUAUUUAAAUGUCAUAAAUUGUCAGGAGAAUGGACACACUACGUAUUUCUGCACUUUAGCCCAGUCUGCUUAGUUUUGUGCAGACCCUCAAAACUCCGAAACGUAUUCAGCUAAAAUAAAAAAGUGUGAAAACUGUCAAGGAUACAGCAGAUUACAGAGUACCCAGAAUUUAAUAUAAUACCCAGAUUACAUAUAUUCUAUACAAACGCCCUAAGACACGGAAAGAAUCAUGCAGAGCCGAUAACUAAAAGUGUAUGUUAAUAAUACAAACUUGUAUAAGAUUAUCUUUGUGAAAUGCUGACUAAGUUCACGGCAUUAACCGAGAAUACCGAAACCGACGUCAUGUUGUUUGAAAACGCACCUUCAACAUUGAAGUACGAGCAAAGACACUAGAAUAAUAAUAAUAGAAUAGAAUAAUAUUCUAGUGUCUUUGGUACGAGGGUAUACGUUACGUUACCAAGACUACUUUUGUUAAUGGCUUGCUACGAGCAAACUACAAUAAGAUAACGGCAACCAUGCCAUAAUCUGUCUGCUGUCCACUUUAAAAUCAUGGUGCUUUACAAUUUACAACUAAUGAAGUAGUCCCUACAAGUCCUUGUUAGCCCUAGAGGAAGGCCACCAUAUAUAAGGUGCAACAACAUAGAGUACACUUUACCAAGUGUUUCAGACACAAGUUAAAGUAUAUAUAUUCAUUGUGAUUCUGCAUUCGCCGAGCCGAUCUGGCCAUGUCCGUCCAUAUGAACGUCGAGAUCUCAGGAACAAUACUAACUAAAAAGUUGAUGUGCAUGGAGCUUCCAGAUACAUAUGUACGUCGACGCAGAGCAUGUUUGUUUCUACAUGAUGUCAAUCCGAAAAUUUCGUAUACUACGAGUAAGGGGUAUAAAAAGUUUUUUGAUCGCAAUGACAAGGUUUUUAAAAAAUUUCGGAUUAUCGUUAAACUCCAGUUUGAACCCUUCUAAACCAUAUUGGAAAAGUAUGCUCGCAAAAUGGAUAAUGAUUUGGUGAGCAACUCCGAAGAAUUCUGGAAUGCUAAAUGAGUCAAGGGCAGCCAUGUUAGUGGCGGAGAGAACGUAAAAUAAAGGUGAGUCCAUGGACUUUGGUCUACAUCGUUGGACCUGAAAUGCCGCAACCCGUGACCACUCAAUCAUUAUACAUGUCCGAGAAUCACAGUACAGGACCAGGACGCGUGCGUGACGCCAGACAGUUGGAAAGACGAAGACAUGUCAUACAAACCAAUAUAACGAAUCGAUCAAAGGGGACAAAAGCCUUCCCAUAAGGAACACACUAGAUAUUGAAUAAUGAAUAUUACAUUAAAAUAUAACUUUCUGCUGCUUAAA